GUGGGGAAUAUUGGACAAUGGGCGCAAGCCUGAUCCAGCAAUGCCGCGUGGGUGAAGAAGGUCUUCGGAUCGUAAAGCCCUUUCGACAGGGACGAUGAUGACGGUACCUGUAGAAGUAGCCCCGGCUAACUUCGUGCCAGCAGCCGCGGUAAUACGAAGGGGGCUAGCGUUACUCGGAAUUACUGGGCGUAAAGGGCGCGUAGGCGGCUCUGUUAGUCAGGCGUGAAAUUCCUGGGCUUAACCUGGGGACUGCGCUUGAUACUGCAGGGCUUGAGGCCGAGAGAGGGUGGUGGAAUUCCCAGUGUAGAGGUGAAAUUCGUAGAUAUUGGGAAGAACACCGGUGGCGAAGGCGACCACCUGGCUCGGUUCUGACGCUGAGGCGCGACAGCGUGGGGAGCAAACAGGAUUAGAUACCCCAGUAGUCC
rnacentral:rRNA from 1 species